ACUCUCGCACGGAAAAGCCCCACUUCUCCUCAGCGUCUGGGUGCUGGGCCGUGCUGGGCCCUCCCCCGUGGAACUGGGAUUUAUGAAGCCGUAACCGGCCAGCGCCGCGGCAACCUCCGCUUCAUCCUGGAGCCAGGCCGGCCUCCUGCGCCGCGGAGGGGAGGGCGGUGGGCGGGAGCUGGGCGGAGGCGUGGGGCCGGCGGAAGGCGGCGGGGAGCUCUUCCCGGGAAAGGCCAGCACCUGAGGCUGCACUUUCUCCCCGUUUCCCCUCAGGAAAAGACGCACCAGCAGCCUAGAAUUCGAGGCACUGCAGAGCCGGAAGGGGCCUCGGCGCUGCUCCCUCCGCCCCCUCAUUUCACAAACCGGAAACUGAGACCCAAAGCAAGGAAGGGACUUGGCCAAGGUCAGAGCUCACCUGGGACCACACGAAGAUGAUAACUUGCUAGGAGUUUUGCAAAUGGGUUUGUCUACAGUUUGGUAGAAUUAAAACAUUGUUUUUAGUUCAGAUUUGCAACAGUGGCCGGCUCCCUCUAAUCCACAGUGGUGGAGCACUGUGAUUGACAUUCAGCUGCAAAGCUCUUGCUGGGAAACGCGGUGGCCGAGCCGUCAGCACAGGCGGCAGCUGCCUCCCACACUUAAGACAGGACUUCUAAAGCCACAGUCCCUCAAACGGCAGGCAGGUUUGUGAAUGUUUCCGUGUUCUGAACAUUUUUCUGCAAAAGGGUUCACAGCUUUAAUUGAUUUACAAAGAGACGUACACCAUGGAAGAGAUUGAGAAUCAUUUCCUUAAAGCAACAAGAAUCUAGGCUGGGGAGAAAUCAGAUUUUAGGAACGAGCUGCUAGGCACCGUAGCAGCAUUCAGAGACAUGAAAGCAUUGGAUUGUUUCCUAGAUUUAAGAGCAUAUAUUUUGCAACAUGAAAGGGCUUCUAUGCUCUAGAAUGUAAGUUCCUCAAGGAUAGGGGUCUAGUCUAUCUCUUCACCUAAGGUAUCCUUAGAUCCUGGAUCAGUGCCUGCGCGUAAUCACAGGUGCGAACACACAUGUGAUUAAUUUGUUAGUCUGCACAGCACUUCCCUUUCCAUGCCCACUCCUGCCUGGUCUCCAGCAGUCGUCAGAAUUGCCAUCGUUAAGGAAACCCUGAUGCAAGAAUUGCAAGAAUGACUCUGUUUGUUUGUUUGUUUGUUUGUUUGUUUAUUAAGACGGAGUCUCGCUCUGUCGCCCAGGCUGGAAUGCAGUGGCGCGAUCUCGGCUCACUGCAAACUCCACCUACCGGGUUCACGCCAUUCUCCUGCCUCAGCCUCCCGAGUAGCUGGGACUACAGGCGCCCGCCUGCGCGCCCGGCUAAUUUUUUGUAUUUUUAGUAGAGACGGGGUUUCACCGUGUUAGCCAGGAUGGUCUCGAUCUCCUGACCUCGUGAUCUGCCCGCCUCGGCCUCCCAAAGUGCUGGGGUUACAGGCGUGAGCCACCGCGCCCGGCCAAGAAUGACUUUGUAAAUCAGUGUUGACAUUCAGGACCUUUUUCAUUUCGUGUUAAAGACUGAUCACCCUGGGAAAAUCAAGGCAGUCCAGCCAAACCCCAACUCCCAAUCAAAUGCAGUUUGUAUCGAACCCCACGACUGCCCAGCACCUUUGGGAAGCCCAUUGCUUUCUAUGCAGACGCAGAGCUCCCAGAAAGCACAGUUGAAGAGAUGAAGGCGCAGAGGCAUGAACUCCCGUAGCCAGAGAGUGUGAGCUGGACUCUACCUGGAGCAGCCUCGGUGCAGAGCCCAUGCCCCCAACCAUGUCCGUGGUCGAGGCCCAGCCCAGACAGGGCACAAAGGGGCUGAGGAAGAGGAAGUAAGAUGCCAGGGUUGCCAUGCAGGAGGGCAACCCCAAGUGAGAUGGGCAUCGUGGCCUAGGGCCCACCUUCCGGAAGAGCUCAUCAGAACUUCGGACACACUGCAUGGGCCUAGACCCAGGGCUCGUUGAGCUCCUCCCUCGGAUUGGCUUCGAAUUUUAGGUGAAUCCUCUCUAGCAGCCACAUUCACCCUUGCAAGCCUGCACUUUGUCAUCUUCUGAAAAGGUGCAGGAACAUGAUGCCCAGCUGACUCCCAGGGAGCGGGAGCCCCAGAGGCCAGCGGAGCACAGCCGCAGCAGGCAGAUCUGUUGGGAAACCACGGGAGUAUAGGAGCAGGGCUGGGGGCACCUGAGGGACUGUGGAGCCUGAAUUAUUGAAACGCUUAGAGUAAAGCAGAUUUAGAUUUCACAAAGACAGAGGUGAAGGUGGGUGAAGACGGAGGGAAGGAUUUAAAGGGAAAGAGAAAGAGGAAAGAUAAGAAUGAGGGAGAAAGAGGAAGAGAGAAAGAAAAAGAGAAAUAGAGUUAUCGAAGAUGACUGCAAGUCUGGCCUCUCUCAACCCAAGGAGCCAAGGAGGGGAAGGCCGGCCUGAGCAGCAACGUAGACAAGAGCUCAGGAGGGCAGGGACAGAGCCCUGGCUUCAGCAAGAGCGUGGGGAACAGAGGGCAAGGGGGUCCAUGCAGCCCAGGAUGGCAGGGUGCUCAUACACACAGCCUUGGUCCUGUCCCCUCUCCCAUUGCCGCUUUUGAGCUCACCUUGUUUAAGGCCAAAGCACACACCAUCCUCCCACAGAGCCACUAAUGCAAUUAACAAAACACAUUCAUAAAUCUUGCAUGGCGUCCGGAGCUGUCUCCUCUCCCUAAGCACAAAGGCCAGCUCCAGAGAUGCUGUGCAGAGAGCUGUCUGACCUCUCCAGCGUCAGGGCCCCCUGAAAAGUGCAGCAUAACCCUUAGUAGGACAGAAAGACCAUUGUCUUCUGCCAACCAUUACAAAGUGGAGUGGGGCUGGGGUUAGGAAACACAGACAAAUCAGAAGAGGCUGAGAAGGCGGAGAUGAAAGUGCAUAGGUGUUUGCAGGGAGCUGGGGAAUAGUUCGUGCCUUCCAAGCUCAACAAGAGAGCAUUCAGCAGAGACCAGAGAAUCACCACUUUUGGAGGGUGAUUUUACCUUGUGAGAACAGAGCACAGGGUGUGUGGGACCCAGGGCAUCUUCGGCAAUGCGGGCGUGACUUGGCGGGAUGUCGGUGUUUGUGUUUGCAUGUGUGUGUGCGUGCGUGCAUGCUCAGUCUGGAAAACUGGUGACUCACUAAAACACCGAGCUUUCUGAUCUGAAGAGCUUAUAUUCGGCUAUUUUUAGCUCGUCUUGUCUCUUGGCCCUUUUUUUCCCCUUGUCUGUUUUCAAAUGUAGAGGAGUCUGGAGACCAUGAAUGCCGUGUGUGUGUGUCUGCUAAUUUAGAGCUUGGGCCCAGAGGUGGGUACCCCUGAAGGUGCAGAGAUGAAGGCACGUGGGGUGUAUGUGUGUACAGCAGGGACACACUGACACAGACAGGGUGCACAUGCUCUUAUUCUGGCAUGUACACACGCGUACCAUGCAUACGUGCAAGCAGGAGUGAGGCCAGAAACGUCCCUGGAAACUCCGGCCUACACUCUCUUCACGUGGGUUGGUGUACAGCUACCCACUAUGCAUACUUCACAAGUAUAACUGCCUCCCCACCCCAGCCCCUGCCUCACACGACCCAGGUGGGCACACUCUCAUGAGGCACAUGGCCACAGGCACAGUCUGGGCCUAUCUUGGGGAAUGGCCCCAGCCCCUGUGCCUUGUUUCUUCUCUGUUCAGCCACUCUUCCAAAAAUUAUGACUUCUUCUCAAGAAGGCCUUUCUCUGCUGGUUGGCAAUAGGAAACACGAAGUGCCAGCUUCUGCACUUGGCUUCUCCUGGGACUCAUUCAGCUGAUCCCACCUGCCCACCACCAUUGGCCGAGACCGCCUCCCCAGUCCAGUGGUCAUCCAGCUACAGGGGGUCUGGCAACUGCUUAGAGAGGCCAGGCAGGGGUCAAUGCUGUGUGAGCUCCGUUCCUCUAGCCGGGAGAGAGGGAGAAAGGAGAGCGAGCUCGGAUUGCCAUCUGCCUAGGUGCAGUGUGGGGCAGGCGGGGAGCGGAGCUCGGACUGCCGUCUGCCUAGGUGCAACGUGGGGCAGGCAGGGAGCGGACAGCACUCUUCAAGGCUCUAGAACGCUGGUGGGUUCCUGGACCUUGACUCUGUGUGACAGGACUGUGUAUGCAACCCAGUGUCAAGAGCAGAAAUGCGCAAAUGCUGCCUAUGACCAGUGCCUCAGUGAUGCGGCACGCCUGGGAAAGGGCACCCACAGCCUCUCUUUCCACACAGCACACAUGCUGUGCACUCACGCACAGCAGCACGUGCCUGCAUGCACACACUCUUAGAAGCCUGCGUGAGAGAGAACACGAGCCUUCGUUACUCCAGACACCAAAGCAAGCUCUGAGCUGCAUCAUCCCUCAAGUCUGCAGUUUAGGCAUGGCUCAGAGGCCCCAGCCAAGGCGGCCAAAACCCAGCCAUGUGUUGCUCCUUAAGCCAUGUCUUCUGCUGAGAGUCUGCGUCAGCCCAGAGGAGGGGCCCUCGGUCUCCCUUGCCUGCCGGGAGGCCCUGUGGUUCCUGGUGUCCAGUGGGCUCAGCGUCACGUCCUGGAAGGAGCCACUACCCGCCUACUGCCCCACUGCAUUCCACUCCACACACAUUUGGGGAUCCAGCGCUCUGUGCAAGGCACUCCAUGUCAUCAUGAUGAAGGAGGACCAGCCGGAGUCCCCACCCCCAGACCCCUGCCCCAAGAUAGGCUGGCACAGAAUAAGAUGCCUGCACAAUUAGCCAUUGCAGGACUCGUCACCCAGGGUGUGUGUGGUCAUGAGCCACGCAGAAGGGAUAAUUCUCUCUUCCUCCUGGGGCCUGGGGGCCUUCACAGAGAACAGGACAGGGGCUUUUGCCUGGGCCCUGAAUAAUGAACAGAUCUCCCCAGGCCAAAGAGGAACUUCUCAGGCAGGGAACUGGCCUGCAUGAAGGUGUGGGAUUGGGAAGCGUGGACAGGGGCUCGUGGGGAGAAAUCAGAUCUUGCCAGCAGACAGACUGGAGCUCAAGCCUGCCUGACUUGCCUCCGGUUCUGUGGCUCUUGCCUGAAGGAGAAGUGAUUUUGAAUUAUCUACCUCUCUUCUUACCCCACAUGGAAGGAAAAAGUCUUUUUAUCUUGAAAGAUCUGGACUCCUUCUGCCUUCUGAGCAUCUGUAAGAUGGAGAUACUAAUAGGGCCUUCCCUAUAGAGAUAUUUUGAAGAUUAAAUGAGAGACCUCAUGGAAAGCUGUUAGCACAGAGCUGACUCCCUCUGAAUGAUGAUCAGUGAGGCCCUGCAAGACAGCCUCCCGAGGCCGAGCCACCGAGCUACAGGACGAAGAUGAUCUUUCUGGGCUCCUGAUGUCCAGACCCUGUCUUGUCUUUCAGCAUGUUCAGAAUACCUGUGGCUGCUGUGGGCAGAGAGGAGGUACCGGGGAAGUCCUGGCAGACUUAUCUAUCGGCAGAGAGACUGAGUCUCCAUGCCACCCCAAUUCCCCCUGCCCUUUUGACUGAGCUCUGAACACAAGUUAGAGGAGCUGGGGGAAAGCUCCAAGCAGUCAAUACAUCAACCAGUGAGCACGUGACAUGUCCUGUCUCGUGCUCAGCGCUGGGGAGGACAUCCCCACAAAUAUCACAGCUCAAAUUCACUGGUUGGGAAGGCAAGACUCACAGGCAGAGAAGAGUCAAAAAACUAUUAAAGAGGCCCCUGGCAUAGUCUGAGGAGCCCUGGAUAGAGGUAAGACCAGAGUUCUAUCCCCAGGCCUCAGGCCUGAAGCAGGUCCCUGUACUUCCAAAAGCUCCAGCUACACCAAGUUAUAGACAACUUCUCAUGGCCUGGAUUGUGGAUGGCAGUGGCGCAUCUGAUUGAUGGGUACUGAUGCCUGGAGCACUGUGCUGAGGAGGAAUCCGAGGCAGCAGCAAGUUUAGUAGGACUGUGAUGGCCAACCGGCGAGGCGAGCGGUAGGUGCCACCGGGAUGUCAUGGGGAUGUACCUCCUGCUUAUUAACCCUUCUGGUUAAGAGCAACUGACUGGAGCCAUUUCUAAGGACUCCUCCAGCUCCCAAAUGGGAUAAUUCUAUGAUGGAAACGUUACAUUUCAAGGCACUGGCUGGAGCAGAAUAAGGCAAAGCAGGAAGAGAUCUGCAUGGGUUGGGCUGAUCAGGGAAGGCUUUGGGAAGGAGGCGGCACUUUAGUGCGGCCUCAAGGUGGGGGAGUGUGAGUAGCUGUACCGGAGGUGGGAGGACGUUUAUGUGCAUAAAACUGGGGCUGAGCAUGGGCUGUUCUUGGUACAGGAGGGAGGCGGCUAGCAUCGCUGGAAUGCGUUGUCUGUGUUUGGGGCAAGUAUGAUUACAUAUGGGAGAGCACACUGCCUGAGAGCUUCCCACAUUGAAGCCACAAGCAAAGAUGACGUUCCAUGCAUGCUGGCUUCCAGUCCUCACAGCUCGUCUUCAAGGCAAAUGCUCUUCCCAGCCUUCCCUAGCAUUCUGUGACUUGCUCAGGGCUACCGCUGGCAGGUGCGAAUCCUGCAUUCAGCCUGGGCAGUGCGGUUCUGAUGGCUUCGGGCAUAACUUCUCUGCUCUGGUGCCUUCUCUACUCUUAGAAGCUGACCAGUAAGGAAACCCAGCAAUGCAGUUGAGACACCAUGGCCGGAUCUGUGGAUUCUAGGGACCAGGAAGAGGCAGGAACAGCUGUAGACUGAGGAAGGAGGGCCUUGCUUGAGCCAUCAGUCACACAAACAGAUCCAAGCAAAGAACAGGGCAAGGUGGACACAGAUCAAAGAUGGGCACUAAAUGCCACUGGGUUAGGGCUUGCUUUAGACCCCCCCAAGUCCUACAUAAUCUACUGGAAACAACAAAAAGUGUCCCAACCCUCUGGGAAUAGGCAAGAAGGUGUGGGAGGUCAUGAAAUUCCAGGGACGUGGGGCUCAGCCUGUGAGGAUGGGAAUAGAGCCUGCCAUGGUCUUAACACCAGCCCAGAGGCAGAAGGCAACUGUCUAAAUAAAGAUCUCAUUUCAGACAAAGCUUAACCCUGCCUUUGCCCAGGCCCGCAGCCUCCAGCUGUCUCCACGCUGUCCCUGCCUGGCACCUGGUGGUGCGCUGGGGAACUUUCUCCCUCCUUCACAGCCCUCUCUCCUUCCUUUCUCCUUACUGGGUUCACAGACAGCUCCAGCCUCCACUCAGCUUGGCCUCUCAGUUCGACGGCACGCAGAAGAUGCUGCUGUGCGCCGCCCUGCCCCAGGCUCCUGAGCAGGGGAAGGUGCUGUCGUGCGCCGCCCUGCCCCAGGCUCCUGAGCAGGGGAAGGUGCUGUCGUGCGCCGCCCUGCCCCAGGCUCCUGAGCAGGGGAAGGUGCUGUGUCUCGUCUUGCUUUCUUCACCUCUCCCACCACCCUGGUCCCCACCCAUCCGGGGAUGGAUCCGAAACCAGCCCGGGUAUGAAACUCUCCGGCCUCUCUCCCAAACAUCCUCGUGCCCCUGCUCCCCUUGCUCUGGUCCCACUCCAUCUCAAGCCCCCUCUGCAGUCCUCCCUUCUGGUUUCUCCCUCUGGCCUCCGGGAGGCCUCUGGUGCCCGCACAACUUCCUGGCAUUGAGGAAGGACCAGAGCUGUAACGUGGGGCUGGAAGGUCCCAGAACCACCAGCUAGUCCUGCCCUGCCAGCCUCUCCUUGUUAAGCUCUCCCUCCUGCUGUUCAGUCUAUGCUCGACGACUAGAGGCCUGAUUUUGAAACUCUCUUUUGGGGCCACUGGGUCAGGCCAGCCCUCCUCACUGUCAGGAAAUGUAUCCUCAUUUCUUACCUUAAUUUCUCAACCGCAGCCGUUCUUUCUUGCUCUGAGAAGUCACCCGGCGUGAUGCUGCGGCCAUGCUACUCCUCAGCGCUCUGCUUCCCAACCAAAACAAUGCUCCUUCUCAUCUUUUCCAAAGCUUCCGGCCCCAGCAGUUCUCGGACCUGGGGUAGUUUCCUCCCCGCAAGUAACAAAGGAGGACAAGCCCCAGCUUCUCUAAGAUGCCUUCAGCUGCCUGGAAGAGGCCUGUGGAAGGCCCUGCAACUCUCCGCAGACCUCUGGGCAUUGCUGCUGCUUCUCAGUGCCCCUCGUCCCCUCAGCCAGGUGAGUCACCAUCAUCCUCGCUCCUCCCAGACCCGAAACCUCUCCUCUCCCAUCCUUCCUUCUCUUUGUAUCUCUUUCCGUUUAAACACGCGAACGAACGCGUGUCCACACACGCAUAUCAUUUCGGGCCCUAUCUGGAGCUGUCAUUGACAGAACUCAAAUUGUGAUAGGCAAAUUGGCUUCAAUGUCAGAGACAGGAAACCCAGUAUGCAUCUCCCGGUGCCUGGAGAGCGAGGAGAUAAGAGAGCAGAGAUGGGCUGCCUCGGCCAGCAGCACCGGAGCAGGGACGGUAGCCAGGGAAGCAGGUCUUCUGCGGCUCCGGCUCAGGCACCAGAGUCCUGAGUGCUGGGGACCCUGGCUUGAUUCUUACCCCCAGCGUGAUGUGGGAUAACAAAAGGAGGAUGGAGCACCUCCGAGAUGCACUGAGCCCUUCCCGAGGGCUUCUCUAAGACAACCCAAGUUCUUUCCUAGCGGGAAUCAGACAUCUACAGCAGGGACCCUUAGCCCCCAGAUGCCACAUCCUACAUGUAGGGCCGGUCACUGCCCUGGCAGUUAGGAGGGGACGGGUGAGAGCUGCUGCCGAAAAGAGGAGCAGCCGUUCCAAUGCCAUCAUACCUCUGCUUGUCCCCGUUACAUAAAGCUCCAGCUGACUUGGCGUAAUGACUAAGAAAACUUUCCAAACUUUCCGAAGACAGUUGGUGAUCCUCUACCCUCCCGGUGACUGGUGAGAACUACCCCCACAGAGAGCCAGCAGAGAGGAAGGCUCCCAGCUCCGGGCCCUGACUCAUCACACACACAAACACUCCCCAGCACUCUUUCCCAAAACAGUUCCCCUCCCACCCAUCCACCCUCCUACCGGGGCUGGGUGACAAAAAUGAACGCCCCAGAGAUCUUGCCAAGUUCUGGGCCACGCUCAGCCCAGGGAACACGCAAUUCCCCGUAGAAUGGGAGGAGCAGGCCCCGCCCCCUCUGGAAGCAAACAAUGUCCAUUGGAAGGAAACGACCACCUGACUCUACAAUGAUCACUGUACUGUUUUCCAAAUACCUUGGACCACUCUCCCCCAAGAAAGAGUUCAAAGCUCUAUAAUCAUAAAAUAUUAGAGCUUAAGGCAAUCUUAAAGGUCAUCUGUAGCGCCUCUCCCCUUCCCUGCUUCCAUGCAUCUACACGUGGAUUCAUUUCUUUAUCUAUCUGUUCAUCAGAUAGCCACUCAGUUCCUACAGUUUGCCCAUGUGCAACGCACGCACUGGAGGCCUCACAGACGCACUGUCUCCUCAAGGCGCUUGUCAUCUAGUGGGUGAGAAAGCAAGUGACAAGGCGUUGGAAUAAGUAGGACAGGCACUGUGGUAGGAAGAGUGCAUGUUCUAGAAGCACCGAGAGGGCACGUCACCCCCACCUUGGGGUAGUGGGGGGAAUUCAUGGAGACUUACU
rnacentral:lncRNA from 1 species